rnacentral:rRNA from 1 species
ACCGGCGCACGGGUGAGUAACACGUAUGCAACCUACCUACAUCAGGGGAAUAACCCGGAGAAAUUCGGACUAAUACCGCAUAAUACAGGGAUGCCGCAUGGCAAUAUUUGUUAAAGAUUUAUCGGAUGUAGAUGGGCAUGCGUUCCAUUAGCUAGUUGGUAAGGUAACGGCUUACCAAGGCAACGAUGGAUAGGGGAACUGAGAGGUUUGUCCCCCACACUGGAACUGAGACACGGACCAGACUCCUACGGGAGGCAGCAGUGAGGAAUAUUGGUCAAUGGACGAGAGUCUGAACCAGCCAAAUCGCGUGAAGGAAGACUGCCCUACGGGUUGUAAACUUCUUUUGUACAGGAAUAAAAGACAUUACGUGUAGUGUAUUGCAUGUACUGUACGAAUAAGCAUCGGCUAACUCCGUGCCAGCAGCCGCGGUAAUACGGAGGAUGCGAGCGUUAUCCGGAUUUAUUGGGUUUAAAGGGUGCGCAGGCGGGAUUUUAAGUCAGCGGUGAAAUUUUCAGGCUCAACCUGAACACUGCCGUUGAAACUGGGAUUCUUGAGUAUGGAUGAAGUAGGCGGAAUUCGUUGUGUAGCGGUGACAUGCUUAGAUAUAACGAGGAACUCCGAUUGCGUAGGCAGCUUACUAAGCCAUAACUGACGCUCAAGCACGAAAGCGUGGGGAUCAAACAGGAUUAGAUACCCUGGUAGUCCACGCCGUAAACGAUGAUUACUAGUUGUUUGCGAUAUACCGUAAGUGACUAAGCGAAAGCGAUAAGUAAUCCACCUGGGGAGUACGCCGGCAACGGUGAAACUCAAAGGAAAUUGACGGGGGCCCGCCACAAGCGGAGGAACAUGGUGGUUUAAUUCGAUGAU